AAGGUGGGGGGCCGCCUCUCCUGGAGGUCGGCUCCACCCCGGCGGGGUCAUCGUUCCGCCCGCUGAUGGAAACCAAGCAGUCACAAAUUUGUUACUGGAGGUGGCACCUGGUGUGGAAGAGGCCACGGGAAGCUUUAUGAAUGCGUGGUUUCAGAGGGAGACAGCAGCUGCAGACGAUGACAACGUCUGUGCCGUGGCCCCAGGAUUGGGUGGCUGCAGCAGUGUGGAUCCUCGCACACACCUGCCAGACGGUCAUCGGGGACGUCAAGUGAAGCAACGGGGUCCCGAAUGAAACUUGCUCAGACCUACCGCGCACUCCACUCGAGCCCUUGGCAACAGCCCUGUUCCCUAGUUCCGGGCCCAAAUCACCGAGGCGUGCGGCUGGUCGGAGACGUGGCACCACUGUGGCCUGGAAUGUUCUGCCCCGUGGCCUGGGCCUGGCACAGGAAGCAGGGCGAGGUGAGGAAGGAGCCCAGCGAGCUGGCGCGAGUCAGCCUUGUCCUGUGGCGACCUGUCAGAGCCAUGAAUGCCCUGGAGCUCGUCCUUCCACGGAAACGUCUGGAAUGAUUGUCUCUGUGUUCCUCAACCAGUUCUCCCAAUAAUGGUGACACUUGAGGCGUUUCGAACAUUGUUUUUGGGGAAAUACAGUGUCUCCUGCUCACUUGGCUGUGUUAAGUCAUUUACUUAUGCUGUUUGCUCAGCAGGUGGCAUUUUUGUUCAGUGAUUUCAUUCGUCGCUGCCUGUGUUUAUCGACCAUGACAUAUUAAUCAUGCAAAUUAGGACAUUAUUAAUGAAGGAAAAAUUAAUUCCGCCGCUGCUCCUGGGUUUGCUGUGACAGCUCUGUUAAUGCCCGUUCACCGCUAACACCGGCAGCGACUUCUCCGCGGCUGCCGCGAGUUGACACGUUACAUUCAGGGUAGAGGUUGGGGACCGAAGCACAGAGGCGACUUUUCCUCUGCAAGGUUGGUGUUAAAAGCACGGAUGUAUCUGAGAGUGCACGUUUUGGGGACACUUUUGCGAAAUCCCCUUUUCCUCCCGCUGCGGGGAUCUGCUCCGUCUCCCGGGGUCUCCUGGUGAGGCCCGUGGCGCACAAAUGCGAGCCCGCUGGACCCGUGCGCGUGGGCCUCGGUGAUUUCUAAGUCCCAGGCUUCUUGUUUUCCAAACGCUCCUUGCAGAACCGACCCCGUGAAUCAUUCUUUCUCAAAGGGCCCCUUC